AUGUCUGAAGGGAAAUAUCCCAUACCUCCUGGUGGUUUUCCUAUUCGGCCAAAGUUACUCAUAGUGGACCCUGGGGCCAAAUAUGGAUUAAAAGGAGAUAAAGUCGCCAUCACAUUUUAUGAGUAUAUUGACAGCUUUCCUCGACGGAGGUUGGAAUCCCAGAACCGCUGCCACUCGUCGCAACUGGUUGUUUUCUAUGGUUUUGAGCAUUAUUAUGGGGAAGAGAAUCGAUUAAUUGAAAAGCCGGCACUAUCACAGAUUUGA